UAGCAUACAGAAUCCCACUUUUUGAUGUCAUUUCCCAACACCAAAGAUUACCAUCCUAGUAACAUGAUAUUACAUGAUGCUUCUUAUCACAGAUUUAUUCAUGAGAAAAGUGGGAAGUCUAACUUGGUAGCUUAAAAGUUACUGGGAGUAGACAAGCACUGCAUCGUCGUCACAAUCCACAAUCUUAUAGUCCACUAUUAGGUGCCCUUGUUUGAUGCCGUUCCCAUUGGUGUCAAUCGGUUUAAACGCAGUUUCAAGGUCCAACUCCAGGCCUCCAGUGCCGCAUGUGUCAACGAUUCUCACUAUUUCCUCGUCUUUAGUUUCAGUGUUGGUUACCUGCAAGUACAGUGGCGGAGCCAAGAUUGAUUAAACUAUGCAUGAAAAUAAUAUACAACUCAGAAUUUUAACACGUUAUGGCCUUGAUUUGCACGACUUAAAUUUAGGAGUUUCAGAACUUUUGAGGUUGCCAUGGCCCCUUUGAACCUAACUACCAUCCUAUCCUGCAUGCAGGUGAGGAUAAAUUAUGUUUAUAUCUCAUAAUUUCGAUGUAUUGCACGAGCUGAGCUUUUCUAAGGCGAAGUCUCUAAUUUUCUUUCAGUACUAUAUAUUCAAUAGACAUAUUCAAUUUAUGAAGAUGAAAAUUAGUGAGAGGUAGAAAAAGUUGCUCACCUUUAAGCACUUGCCACAAGCGUCUACUCCCGUAGGACCAACUGGUCCACAGAAACCGGUCCAUCCAUACUUGCUGCGCCAUUCCAAGGGCUUAGCACCAACCGCUGCGGCGCAAAAAGAAGGUAUUUCCCAGCUAUUCUGUGAAGGUUGGUAGUCAGUCCAAUAAGCCGUGACAUCGGUAGCAUCUGGGACGUCGUCUGCAUCACAAUCCACAAAUGCAUAGUCCACAGUAAGGUGACCUUGUUUAAUGCCGUUUCCAUCAGUGUCAAUGGGUUUAAACGCAGUCUCGAGGUCCAACUCUAGGCCUCCAGUGCCGCAUGUAUCGACUAUUCUCACCGUUUCAUAAGCUCCAGUGGCAGUGUUGGUCACCUACACGUAUGCAAGAGAAUAAAUCGUACGUAUAGCUCAGAAAUUUUAAUGAAUACACGAGCUUUUUUAUUGAAAACGAAAGGGAAAUAGGAAAGAUCAAUAACAAAAUUAUCAAGGAAACAAAGGUUUAGGUCCUUGCAUUUAAGCACUUGCCACAAGAAUCUACCCCCUGACUACCACUCGGUCCACAGAAGCCGGUCCAUCCAUAUUUUUUGCGCCAUUCCAAGGGCUUAUCACCAUCCACUCCGGCGCAAAAAGAAGGUAGUUCCCAGCCAUUAUCGGUAGGCUUGUAGUCAGUCCAAUAAGCUGUGACAUCAGAAGCACUUUGGGCAGCGGCAAAAGCCACUAGGCAGGCCAAGAACAGAAUGCUUAAGCUUAGUCUCUUCAUUUUUUGUGUGAAAUACUCUAUCGGUUUUCUUGAAAUCGUUUCCAGGGUGUGCUCCAUUUUAUAGACUUAAUUAGUUCACCGUACUUGUAAAGAUUAAACCAUGUGAUUUUCAUUCUCUUAAUAAUAGAAAAUUACACAUCACCGUCCAAGUGGAUAAGGCAUAUGCUUUAACUAAAAUUUCUUAUAAAUUAAAAAAAAAAAAUUCAGUGCAAUUAUUGCUUUUGGCGUCCUAAACUUGAAUUUCGUGUAAUUUAAUGGAAAUUCGUAAAGAUCAGAGCUGCACGUGAUUUUCGCGCUCCUGUUUUUGUCAUUUUGUCAAUAAUUACUACGGUCACUCAAGUCCAAGUCAGCUUGUGGGUAAGCACAACGUAAAAUCGUUAACGUACUCGACAGUCGACAAUUGUCCUAAAGUGUAAGCGGCAUCGUGGUCCUACUGUCAGUAGCUAAUUUGUCUGUUUUCAUCGUUUAUUGGUCCUCUCAAUAUUUUUUAUCUAGACUGGUGCAGGCUGCUCUUGUCUUACUCCUUGGACUUGCUGAUGAUCCAUGAGAUAAAUAUUCAGGCAACUCGUUCGUUAAGGAAUAUAUUAAAUUAUUACAUUCAAAAUAUGAUAUCUAUAGUUUAUGAGUGGAUAUUACAUGUGUGAAUAGUGACAAUGUGUGUAUUUGAACAGAAAAAUAAUAAAAAAGAAUAUUAUCUCAUUUGGGAGGCUCUCAAAAUGAGGAAAAUCGGUUCCCAUGUCAACGGGAGUCUCUAACACCUUCAACUAGAGAUUAACAAUGACAUAUCAUAUGAACUUGGCUUGAUUAAUUUGUCCUCGUCGAUUUAACUUGGUUGUACUCCUGCCUAUGGUAUAUUGCUGUAUGUAGGGAUGAUGUUGACAUAGAGUAGCUAAUUAAUGCCCACUUUAAAAUUUUAUUAAUCCUGGUUUAUUUUCUGACAAUUUUGCUGAGUUUCAAGCAGGUAAAGAAGGCUUUUCAUUUGCUUUGUCCUCUCUUGGCAGGCGUACGGUGCAUCAACCUCAUCUGCAGGCAAUCCUUCUUGAUUGUCUUCAGCUUUCUAUUUCUUUUUUCUUUUGUGCAGAUCAAGAUCAGUCUCUUGCUAUAGGGAAAGCUAAUGGUAUAGCAAACCUUCUGUCAUGGAGAGCUGCUCGUGUAAAAAACGAUUUAAUGAAAUCAAUGAAAAAUAUAAUUUUUUAUUAUUUGAUAGUGAAAUCAUAUGCAUAUACUCUAUCAAGUAGGCUAUAUAAUAUUUACACGCGUUUUCUUUUUGCAUGCACUUAAUAUGAUUCCCACGUCACCAUCAUAGUUGAGGCCAGCAGAAAAGAAAAUUGUAGGUCAGCCACAUUUUUUCUGGAUGUAAUAAAUCCAACAUGAACCAUGUGAUAAUAGUGAACCAACAUGGAUAUCUUAAUUUUUUUUUGUCAUUUUCUCCAUAACUGUGACAUGUGACAAAUAUAAACAUUAAUCAUUAUACUAUACAGCAGCCUUUAAAAUAAUAAUUAAAUAAUGUUAUGAGGUUAACCAAACAUCAAAUUAAAAAAUUAAUUCGAAGGAAAUUCCAAUGAAAAGGUUCAAGUAAUUUUUCCUUGUUCAAUUAUUCAUUUAUGUAAUUUUCCGAUGAAAGCAGAAAUAGGAUUUAUUGAUGGUAGUUUACCGAGAGAUAUUAACGGAUUUGAUUGCUUAUCAAUUAGCAACGGGGAAUAACAUUGUCAACAGGAUAUCCUUUUAGUAUAUUAUUGACAGAAUAUUUUGUCACUGACAAAAUAAUAUUACCAACAAUUGCUUCUUUGACUAAUUUAUCAGCGUAAUUUUCCGUUGAUAAAUUCUCAAUACCAACAGAAUUUCAAGCUUUACUAAUUGAAUAUUCUAUCGAUAAAAAUCAUAAUUUUUGUAGUUUUGUUUAAUGGAUGAGCAUAACCCCAAAAUAAACGGGGAAAAAUCCUGUUACAAGAUCAACCAUUGUCAUAGCAGCACUCCCAUAAGCAUGCAGAAAACAAUUACAUAUCCAUAAUUAAGUGUUUGUAUAAACGAUACAAACUAAAUAGUUUGAUGGUUGAGUCAUGGCAAUGAGAAAAACAGAUAAUAAUAAUUGUUGUGUUGCUCAACCAUUAGAUUCAAAAUUUUGUUUUCCAUCUUUGGGCACCACUUUUCAUUCUUGCUGACAACGACAAAGCCAAAAGAAAUUUGAUUCCCCUUAUCCUCUGAAACCAAAGUUAUUUCCCUGGUCCCGAUCGGAAGGAGCGGACAGCUAGCUAGGAGAAAACAAAGGUUUUAACCAAAGGUAUGUUAAAACAAGAGGAAGUGGUCACGGUGGAGUAGAUAAAAUAUUACCACUGUAGCUUUUGUUCAGGGCGGCCCAAUAAAUUUAAAGUCUUAAAGCAAAAUAUUCAAAUGAAGCUUUUUUUUUAUUGAAAUUAAAAAAAAAUUAUUUAAAUUUUAUUCUUUUAGCAUUUUGAGAUGCAAAAUUUUUAAUUAAACUUUUAUAAUCAAGUUCUUCUAAUAUUUCUUUUUCAAUUGAUAAUAUAGUCAAUCCAUUUAAUCUUUCUUGAGACAUUGUUGAUUUUAAAUAAGAUUUUAUUAAUUUUAGUUUUGAAAAACUUCUUUCUCCUGAAGCAAUAUUUACUGGAAUUGUUAACAUUAUUCUAAAAAUAUUUAACUAUUAUAAUUAUCUUAUAUUUUUUAAAUGGCUAAUAUAAAACCAACAAUCAAAAUUUUUAAUUCAAAUAAAUCAACUAUCACAUAAAAUAAAAAUAAUAUAACAAUAUAAUAUAAAUCUAAAUUAAAGUAAAAACAUCUGUAAAAAUUAAAACAAUAGUAUAUAAUUGUUGAAUGCUUAUUGCAAAUCGCAAAUGAGGCUUACAGCUUUAUGAAGAUAAUAAAAGAACAGACUUUUUGUGUAUUCUUUAGAGAAAAAUUAAAGUUAAAGGAAGAAUGAGCAAAUGAGAAAUGAAGAUUUCAAAAGUAGAUAUUAUACAUUGAAAAAAAUAAUUAGUUUUAUAUAUAGAAAAAAUAUAGUUGUUGAAAAUCAUUAAAUGUGUUGAUUGGAAAUAAGAGAAAUAAGUGAGAAAAAAAUAACUGUUGGAAAUGAUUAAAUAUAUGUAAUUGUUAGUUUAUUGAAAAUAAGAGAAUAUAGUUGAGAAUUAAUAAUAUUCAAGAAAUAAAGAAGUAAUAGAAAAUUAAGAUCUAUUAAGCACAUAAUUAAAAAAAAUAAAAAAAUAAAUAAUUUGAUGAAUUAUUUUUUAUUUUUAUAUAUUUUUAAUAUAAUUAAUUAUAUUAUAAUUAUUAUAAAAUUAUAAUUUUUUUUUUAAAUUGAGGCCUCUCCAAAUUGGGAGCCUAAAGUCCUUGCUUGCGUGGCUUCACCCUAGGGCCGGCCUUGCUUUUGUUUAUGUCCUGAGGGCAACAGGCUAGCAUCAGCACGUUCUGAAAACAUGCUGAAAUUAUUGUACAGUUGGAGCCACAUCUAGGGCAAUUGUCCUCAUCCAAAAAUCCUAUUUUGGUUUUUCAAGUAGGGUCUAGCAUUAAUUCUUUUGGGUGAGGAUGUGUUGGAUUUUUGGAUAAAGUUGGGGGUCUUCCAUUUUCCAAGUUCAAGUAGAUCCUCACCAGGGUUGACAAAGAGUACCCUUUUUUAAGAGGGGAGGCCUUCUUAUUUGUAUAUAAUGUAUAUGUCUGCUUCACCAUUUAAGUAUUGUUUGGAGGCUAGUGGUGAUUGAGAUUUUUCUAUGUAUAAUUGUUUUUUUUUUGGAAAGCAUGUAUAUUUGUUUUUUUAAGUGAUUUUUCUAGUUUAUUUAGGUGUCGUAUUUGUUAUCAUAUAUGUUCUGCUAAUUGUGUGGUUAACAUGAAAUAUGAAACCCUCUGAUUAUUUAUUAAUAAAAUUCUUUUUGGGUUUGGCAAAAAAAAAAUCUGCUUCACCUUCUUGGAUAUCUGAGUUUGGGUCUCAAUGCAUGAUCCUACGAUAUAUGAUCACCAGCUUUUUCAAAUAAUUUUAAAGAAGGAAGACAACCUCAUAAUUAAGUUUCCAACGCCAUAAAGAAUGUAAAGUCUAAAACAAAGUCAAUCCACACCACAGUUCAAACAUGGUCGUCAACAUCUACCCUUCCUUCCAACUUGUAUAUUAUUCUUUUUUUUUAAAAAAAAAGUGGUUGACUUACAUAUAUCUCGGAGCUAAAAUGUCAUGGUGAGUCUUGAACCUUGGAAGUAGAAGACUCAUGUUGCUUUGUAAAAGCGACGACCAUGUCCGAACCAAAUACAAAAGCGAUCAGCUGCUUACCAAGCACAAAGCAGCACCUAUCCAAGAAGAAUAGAGCCCCUAUACAGAAAAUACUGGGCAACCAGAAACGAAUCAACAAAAGACUAUACAUAAGCUUGACCAACGUGAAGUGAUCCAAAAACAGCAGAGAGAUCUCGUUUUCAAAAGUUGAGAUCAAGCGGCCAGAAAUGUUGUUUUGAGACGGAAAUUCCCUCCAACUCAGAGGAGAUCAAAAUCUCUGCGACGAUCUUCUAUUUCUUCUUCCAACUCAACGGAUUGCUUCCUUAUUCGUGGAACCGGCCAUGAUAAUACUUUUUCAACCUGACAAAGCAAAUAUGCACCCAAUUAAGAUAUAUUAUUAAAUUUGUUUGUAUGGAGACUUAAUUAGUGAUAAGAACAGAUAGUAGUGUACUUUCUUUUAGUGCUAAAAGUUACAGUAGAUAUCUGAAAGUAAUUUCUUCUUGAGACAAAAAAUGUCUAUAGCUUAUACCAAUAUCAAAUAGCUAGACCAAGCAAUCCUGUCAACAAGUGAUAAGUCUUAAUAAAUUGCAAUAAGUUUAUGUCAAAAUGUUUAAAGCAACAAAUUUUAUUGUAAAUAAGAGAUAACAUAUUAAUGCAUGUAUGAUAUGUGUGAAUUGUAUACUAUUUGUAAAUUCAUUUUCAUAUAUGUUUUCAAAAUUUUCGGCAAAGGUUCAAAAUAUUCUAUCUAAAUGAAUACAUAUGUCAUAUGUGAGUUUACCUCAAAAUUCAGUGCAUGUUUUGUGUAGGUAAUAUCCACAUUCUUUACAUAUAUAGGUUGGACAAUGAAUUUCCAGCUUGCAAGCUUGGCAGCCAAAAUUUUCAUCUUCCUUAUGUACCUCAUGAAAAUUCGACCGAUGAUGAUGGUAGAAAUGCUGAAUUUACAUACAAAAGAGAAGAGAAAAAAAAAAAACAAAAGAGACAGUUACUCUGUUUUAAAGAUAUUCAGAAAAGUAUUAAAGAAAGAUUCACUGAUAAUGAAAAAUUAUUAUAUUAACCUAAGACCAUUCUCUCUACAUUCUUUAAUGUCAUUCUAAAAUUUAAGCUAAACAUCUCACCUAAAAUCAAUUUGAUAAGUGAAGUUCACAGGAAUUCUCCUCCAUGAAAACCGAACAAUCCACAUAAAUUGCAAUAAUAUAUUUGUCAUUUUUUGUUGAGAAAAUCGGACAACAUCUCAAGCUAUGAAUCACCUUCUUACCUCUUUCAGCAUAUAAUAACAUUAAUAAAUUUUCCUUCACAGAAAGUUUAGCAUACAGAAUCCCACUUUUUGAUGUCAUUUUCCAAACACCAAAGAUUACUAUCCUAGUAACAUGGUAUUACAUAACGGUUCUUAUUACAGAUUUAUUCAUGAAAAAAGUGGGAAGUCUAACUUUGUAACUUAAAAGUUACUGGGAGUAGACAAGCACUGCAUCGUCGUCACAAUCCACAAUCUUAUAGUCCACAAUAAGGUGCCCUCGAUUGAAGCCGUUCCCAUUGGUGUCAAUCGGAUUAAACGCAGUUUCGAGGUCUAACUCCAGGCCUCCAGUGCCGCAUGUGUCAAUGAUUCUCACUAUUUCCUCGUCUUUAGUUUCAGUGUUGGUUACCUGCAAGUACAGUGGCGGAGCCAACAUUGAUUAAAUUACGCAUGAAAAUAAUAUACAACUUAGUAUUUUAACACGUUAUGGCCAUAAUUUGCACGAUCAAAUUGUAUGAAUUUGAGAACUUUUGAGGGAUCCAUGGCCCCUUUGAACCUAACUACCAUCCGAUCCUGCAUGCAGGUGGGAAUAAAUUAUGUUUAUAGCUCAUAAUUUUCAUGCAUUGCACGAGCUUUUCUAAGGCGAAGUCUCUAAUUUUCCUUCAGUACUAUUCAAUAGAUAUAUUCAAUAUAUGGAGAUGAAAAUUAGUGAGAGGUAGAAAAAGUUGCUCACCUUCAAGCACUUGCCACAAGCGUCUACCCCCGUAGGACCAACUGGUCCGCAGAAGCCGGUCCAUCCAUAUUUGCUGCGCCAUUCCAAGGGCUUAUCACCAACCUCUCCGGCGCAAAAAGGAGGUAUGACCCAGCCAUUAUUCGUAGCAUUGUAGUCAGUCCAAUAAGCCGUGACAUUGGUAGCAUCUGGGACGUCGUCGUCUGCAUCACAGUCCACAAAUUCAUAGUCCACAGUAAGGUGACCUUCUUGAUAGCCUCGUCCAUCAGUGUCAAUGGGAUUAAACGCAGUCUCGAGGUCCAACUCUAAGCCUCCAGCGCCGCAUGUAUCGACGAUUCUCACCGUUUCAUAAGCUCCAGUUGCAGUGUUGGUCACCUGGACGUACGCACGAGAAUAAAUUAUGCGUAUAGCUCAGAAAUUUUAAUGAAGACACGAGCUUUCUUAUAGAAGACAAAAGACAAAUAGGAAAAAAUAAAUAACAAAAUUAUCAAGGACACAAAGCUUAAGUCCUUACAUUUAAGCACUUGCCACAAGAAUCUACCCCCUGAGUACCAUUCGGUCCACAGAAGCCUGUCCAUCCAUAUUUGCUGCGCCAUUCCAAGGGCUUACCACCAACCACUGCGGCACAAAAGGAAGGUAUUGUCCAGCCAUUUUCCGUAGUAUUGUAGUCAGUCCAAUAAGCUAUGACAUCAGAAGCACUUUGGGCAGAGGCAAAAGCCACCAGGCAGGCCAAGAACAGAAUUCUUAAGCUGAGUCUCUUCAUUUUUUGUGUGAAAUACUCAAUUGGUUUGCUUGGUAUCGUUUCCAGGAUGUGCUCCAAUUUAUAGGAAAGGUUCCCUGAUACAAUUAUAGACUUCAUUUGUCACCCUACGUGUAAAGAUUAAACCAUGUGAAUUUCAUUCUCUUAAUAAUAGAAUCAUACAUCAUUGUCAUUUUGUCAAUAAGUACUACAGUGACUCAAGGCCCAGUAAGUCUCUAGAUAAACACAAUGCAGAAUCACUAAUUCACAAGGUCUGUUUGCACCAUUAUUUGCCAGUAGUGUUUGUCUUUUUUUCGUCAUUGAUUGGUCAUAUCAAUAAUAGCAAUCUCUUCAUACUUUUUAUAUUUACUGGUGCGGGCUGCUCUUGCCUAAAUUACUGGACUUGCAUAUGAUCCAUGAGAUAAAUAUUAGGCAAUUAGGGCGGCUUUAAGGUCAAGUCACCAAACUAAGGAUUUUAGGUUUCAAAUUUUCAUAGAUGUUGUAAUUUUAUAAUAAUAAUAUAAUUUAUUAUUAUAUUAUAUUAAAAAUAUAUAAAAAUUAAAAUAAUUACUAAAAGGACAUAUUUUCUUCUUUCUCUAAUAUGUACUUAAUAAAUUUCAAUUUUUUUUUAUCAUUUUUCAAUUCCCACAAUACUAUUAAUUAUCAACUAUUUCUCUUAUUCCCAAUCAACUAAGAAUAAUAUGUAUUUAAUAAUUUCCAACCACUAUUUUUUUUCUAUUAUACAUUUUCUUUCCUUAUUUGCUCUUUCUUCCUUAACUUCAAUAAAGAAGACUUCAUUUUCUUAAUUUCAAUAAAAAAGGCCUUUUAAGCCUUUAAGAUUAUUGAACUGCUAUUGCAAGCAACUCCUUGGUUAAGGAAUAUUAAAUAUUUUAAAUUAAUACCAAGUUAAGUUAUUUGUUCUGAAUAAAGGGUUGAAGAGCAAAAGAAGCUGGAUGUGCUUUCAAAUAAUGAAGUCUUUAUCAAGGUUUCAAUUAGUAGUUAGAUGAACUUUUAAGUUAUUUAUAAACAUAUGAGAUGCUACGAUUUUCUUUUAACAAUAUAGAUGUUUUACGAGUGCAUGUUUAUCUUUAAAGAAGAUAUAGAAGCAACAUUUGUGAGGAUUCGGCUCCUGUCUAUUACUUUGUCAUUGUCAUUUGUAUUUGUUUGGUCCUCCUGCCUACGGUUUUUCUAUAUGCAGAGGGGAUGAUGUUGUCAUGGAGUAGCUAGUGCCAACUUUAGAAUUUUAAUUUCUGACAAUUUUCAAGCAGUUAAAGAAGGCUUUUUCAUUCGCUUUCUCCUCUCUUUGCAGGCGUAUAGUACAUCAACCUCAUCUGCAGGCAAUCCUUCUCGAUUGUCUUCAGCUUUCAUUUUUUUUUCUUUUGUGCAGAUCAAGAUCUGUCUCUUGCUGUAGGGAAGCUAAUGGUAUAGCUGACCUUCUGUCAUGGAGAGCUGCUGUUCUUAUGAAAGGAAUUAAUGAAAUCUAUGAAAAAUAUAUAUUUUUUAUUAUAUGAUGGUGAAAUCAUAUGCAUGUAUUAUAAAAUAAGCUAUAUAAUAUUUACACACGUUUUCCUUUUCCAUGCACUUAAUAUGACUCCCACAUCACCAUCGUAGUUGAGGCCACCAGAAAAGAAAAUUGUAGGAUAGCCACAUUUUUUCUUUGGAUGUAAUAAAUCCAACAUGAACCAUAUGAUAGUGAACCAACAUGACUACCUUAAUUUUUAAUUUCUUGUCUUUUUGUCCAUAACUGUGACAUGUGACAAAUCAAAACCUUCAGCAUUACUAUCUAUCUAUCACCUUUCAAAAUAAUAAUUAAAUAAUAUUAUGAAAUUAACCAAACAUCAAAUCAAAAAAUUAAUUCGAAAAAAAUUCAAAUGAAAAGAUUCAAGUAUUUUUUUUUUCAAUUAUUGAUCAUUCAUGUAACCUACCAGCAGAGCAAAAAUAGUAUUUAUUGAUGAAAAUUUAGGGACUGAUAUUGACGGAUUUAUCGCUUACCAAUUAUUUGUUUCACCAAUAAGAGAAUAUUAUUUUCAACAAAGUAUACCAUUGGUAUGUUGCUGACGGAAAAUUUCUUCACCAACAAAAAAAUAUUACAACAACCAUUUCUUGGAUUGAUUUAGUGACGAAGUCUUUUGUCAAUAAUUCUCAAUACUAACAGAUUUUCAAGCUUUAUCAAUUGAAUAUUUUAUCGAUAAAAAUAAUAAUUUUUAUAAGAUUUUUAAUAGAUAAGUAUAACCCAAAAAUUAACUGGAAAAAUUCUGUUACAAGAUCAACCAUUGUCAUAGCAGCACUCCCAUAAGCAUGCAGAAAACAAUUACAUAACCAUAAUUAAGUGUUUGUAUAAACGAUACAAACUAAUUAGUUUGAUGGUUUUUUUUUUUAUAAUUAGAAGAGGAGAGAUUCGAACUCUACUCUUUAGGCAGAGGGAUUAUGUACCAGUUAAUGAGAUAAAUGCUCGGGUGUAAAUUAAUUAGUUUGAUGGUUGAGUCAUGGCAAUGAGAAAAACAAAUAAUAAUAAUUGUUGUGCUGCUCAACCAUUAGAUUCAAAAAAAUAUUUCCAUCUUUGUGCACCACUUUUCAUUUUUGCUGACAACGACAAAGCCAAAAGAAAUUUGAUUCCCCUUAUCCUCUGAAACCAAAGCUGUUUCUCUGGUCCCGACCGUAAGGACCAGACAGCUAGCUAGGAGAAAACAAAAGUUUCAACCCAAGGUAUGUCAAAAACAAGAGGAAGUGGUCACGGUGGAGUAGAUAAAAAAUAACCGCUGUAGCUUUUGUUUAUGUCCUAAGGCAACAGGCUCGCAUCAGCACGUUCUGAAAACAUGCUGAAAUUAUUGUACAGUUAGAGCCACAUCUUGGGCAAUUGUCCUGAUCCAAAGAUCCUGUUUUGGUUUUUCAAGAAGGGUCAUUAAUUCUUUUGGGUGAGGAAGUGUUGGAUUUUUGGAUAAAGUUGGGGGUCUUCCAUUUUCCACGUCCAAUUAGAUCCUCCCCAGGGUUGACAAAGAGUACCCUUUUUUAAGUGGAUAGGCCUUCUUUUUUAUAUAUAAUGCAUAUGUCUGCUUCACCUUUUAAGUGUUGUUUGGAGGCAAGUCGGUGAAUGAGAGUUUUCUAUGGAUUUUGGUUUUUUAUUUUGGAAAGCAUGUCUAUUUGAUUUUUUAAGUGAUUUUUCUAGUUUGUUUAAUUGUCGUAUUCGUUAUCAUAUAUAUUCUCCCAAUUGUGUGGUUAACAUGAAAUAUGAAACCCUCUGAUUAUUUAUUAAUAAAACUCCUUUUGGGUUUGGCAAAAAAGAAAAAAAUCUGCUUCACCUUCUUGGAUAUCUGGGUUUGGAUCUCAAUGCAUGAUCCUCAGAUAUAUGAUCACCAGCUUUUUCAAAUAAUUUUAAAGAAGGAAGACAACCUCAUAAUUAAGUUUUCUCAAUCCACAUCACAGUUCAAACAUGGUCGUCAACAUUUACCCUUCCUUCCAACUUGUAUAUCAUUUUUUUUUUUGAAUAGUGGUUGGCUUAUAUAUAUCUCGGAGCUAAAAUGUCAUGGUGAGUCUUGAACCUUGGAAGUAGAAGACUCAUGUUGCUUUGUAAAAGCGACAAUGUCCGAACCAAAUACAAAAGCGAUCAGUUGCUUAUCAAGCACAAAGCAGCACCUAUCCAAGAAGAAUAGAGCCCCUAUACAGAAAAUACUGGGCCACCAGAAACGAAUCAACAAAAGACUAUACAUCAGCUAGACCAACGUGAAGUGAUCCAAAAACAGCAGAGAGAGCUCGUUUCCAAAAGUUGAGAUCAAGCGGCCAGAAAUCUUGUUUUGAGACGGAACUCAGAGGAGAUCAAAAUCUCUGCGACGAUCUUCUAUUUCUUCUUCCAACUCAACGGAUUUCUCCCUUAUUCGUGGAACCGGCCAUGAUAGUACUUUUUCAACCUGACAAAGCAAAUAUGCACCCAAUUAAGAUAUAUUAUUAAAUUUGUUUGUAUGGAGCCUUAAUUAGUGAUAAGAACAGAUAGUAGUGUACUUUCUUUUAUUGCUAAAAGUUACAGUAGAUAUCUGAAAGUAAUUUCUUCUUGAGACAAAAAAUGUCUAUAGCUUAUACCAAUAUCAAGUAGCUAGACCAAGCAAUCCUGUCAACAAGUGAUAAAUCUUAAUAAAUUGCAAUAAGUUUACGUCAAAAUGUUUAAAGCAACAAAUUUUAUUGUAAAUAAGAGAUAACAUAUUAAUGCAUGUAUGAUAUGUGUGAAUUGUAUACUAUUUGCAAAUUCAUUUUCAUAUAUAUUUUCAAAAUUUUCAGCAAAGAUUCAAAAUAUUCUAUUUAGAUGAAUACAUAUGUCAUAUGUGAGUUUACCUCAGAAAGUACGCAUUUUAUGUGAGUAACGAACAUGUCUAAACACUCUUCACAAUAAUAGAUGUGAUUUUUUGUAAAUUGUUUUUUUUUACAAAUAUCACAAUAAUACUCUCUUAUAUCAUCCUCGACAAAUAAAUUCUUAAAAACAAGUGGAUGAUUGUGAUGUAACCAUUUGUGGUAUUGGAAAACAAUCCAAUAUCCACAUGUGAAGUGCUUGGUAUUAGGAGAUCUAGUAAGAAGGUUUAGCGGAAUGACGAGGAUGUAACACCUCAUUGGGCAAUUCAGUGCAUGUUUUGUGUAGGUAAUAUCAACAUUCUUUACAUAUAUAGGUUGGACAAUGAAUUUCCAGCUUGCAAGCUUGGCAGCCAAAGUUUUCAUCUUCCUUAUGUAAUGGCCGGCCCCCCCNNNNNNNNNNNNNNNNNNNNNNNCCAAAACUUUUAAAAUUUUUUCCAUAACAUAUAAAAAUUUUUAAAUUUUUUCAUAUAUUCUAUUAUUAGCUCCCUCAAAAUAAUGGUUUAUUUAAUAAUUAAUAUAAAUAAAAAAUAAUAAAAUGAUUUUACUUAUCUUACUCAACUUUAAAUUUUUUUAAUUUAUAUUUGUUUAUUUUUAUUUUAUUUAUUCAUAUGUUAUAAGUUUUUAAAAAUAUUCUUUCUCAAAUUUCUACAAAUCAUUAACCAUAUUCUUUUUCUUUCUUUUUUGUUAUGUAAUAUGCGGUAUUUACCUUCUACUUGCCAUGUUAUUCUUUUUUAUGUUACAUAAAUUUUAUUUUCUAUGAUUUUAAUGUUUAAAAAUUAAUAAAUUAUUAUAUAGUUCUCAAAUAUAAGUUGUAAUAGUACAUUGUUACUUAAAAUUUCAUCAAUGUAUCAUUUUUUUAUUAAUCUUGAUUAUAUAAGAGAAAAUUAACUUGAGUAUAUUUUUUUAUAUGCUUUACAUUUUAUGUUUAGUUAAAAUAAAAUUCUCUUGAAUAUAUAGUAUUUAAAUAAUUCUGAUUAUAUAAAAAAAAAUUAUUAAUCGUAUAUAUCGUUUUUAACUAUCUAUAUUUUACAAAUUAUAGUUUUAUAUUUAGUUUCAUAUUUCUAUUAUUAAUAUUUUUAUUGUUGAUUGAAUUUAACAUAUUAGGGUCUUAAAAUUUUUAACUCUUAUUUAACUGUGUUUGGCCCCCCCAAUAAAAUUUGGCUAGCUCCCCCCCUGCUUAUGUACCUCAUGAAAAUUUGACCGAUGAUGAUGGUGGAAAUGCUGAAUUUGCAUCUGAAAGAGAAGAGAAAAAAAAAAAAACAAAAGAGACAAUUGCUCUGUUUUAAAGAUAUUCAGAAAAGUAUUAAGGAAAGAUAAUAUAAUAAUGAAAAAUUAUUAUAUUAACCUAAGACCAUUCUCUCUACAUGCUCUAAUGUCAUUCUAAAAUUUAAGCUAAAUAUCUCACCUAAAAUCAAUUUAAUAAGUGAAGUUCACAGGAAUUCUCCUCCAUGAAAACCAAACAAUCCACAUAAAUUGCAAUAAUAUAUUUGUCAUUUUCUGUUGAGAAAAUCGGACAACAUCUCAAGCUAUGAAUCACCUUCUUACCUCUUUCAGCAUAUAAUAACAUUAUUAAAUUUUCCUUCACAGAAAGCUUAGCAUACAGAAUCCCACUUUUUGAUGUCAUUUUCCAAACACCAAAGAUUACCAUCCUAGUAUCAUGGUAUUACAUAACGGUUCUUAUUACAGAUUUAUUCAUGAAAAAAGUGGGAAGUCUAACUUUGUAACUUAAAAGUUACUGGGAGUAGACGAGCACUGCAUCGUCGUCACAAUCCACAACCUUGUAGUCCAAAAUAAGGUGUCCUCGAUUGAUGCCGUUCCCAUUGGUGUCAAUCGGUUUAAAUGCAGUUUCGAGGUCUAACACCAGGCCGUCAAUGCCGCAUGUGUCAACGAUUCUCACUGUUUCCUCGUCUUUAGUUUCAGUGUUGGUUAUCUGCAAGUACAGUGGCGGAGCCAAGAUUGAUUAAACUAUGCAUGAAAAUAAUAUACAACUCAGAAUUUUAAUAUUUUAUGGCCAUAAUUUGCACGAUCAAAAUGUAGGAAUUUGAGAACUUUUGAGGGAGCCAUGGCCCCUUUGAACCUAACUACCAUCCGAUCCUGCAUGCAGGUGAGAAUAAAUUAUGUUUAUAGCUCAUAAUUUCGAUGUAUUGCACAAGCAUUUCUUAGGCGAAGUCUCUAAUUUUCCUUCAGUACUAUUCAGUAGAUAUAUUCAAUAUAUGGAGAUGAAAAUUAGUGAGAGGUAGAAAAAGUUGCUCACCUUCAAGCACUUGCCACAAGCGUCUACCCCCGUAGGACCAACUGGUCCACAGAAGGCGGUCCAUCCAUAUUUGCUGCGCCAUUCCAAGGGCUUAUCACCAUCCACUGCGGCGCAAAAAGGAGGUAUGACCCAGCCAUUAUUCGUAGCAUUGUAGUCAGCCCAAUAAGCAAUGACAUUGGUAGCAUCUGGGACGUCGUCGUCUGUGUCAUCGUCCACAGCUUCACAGUCCACAAAUUCAUAGUCCACAGUAAGGUGACCGUUUUGAUAGCCUCUUCCAUCAGUGUCAAUGGGUUUAAACGCAGUCUCGAGGUCCAUCACUAGGCCGUCAGCGCCGCAUGUAUCGACGAUUCUCACCGUUUCAUAAGCUCCAGUAGCAGUGUUGGUCACCUUCACGUGCGCACGAGAAUAAAUUAUACGUAUAGCUCAGAAAUUUUAAUGAAGACACGAGCUUUCUUAUAGAAGACAAAAGACAAGUAGGAAAAGAUAAAUAUCUAAAUCAUCAAGGAAACAAAGCUUAAGUCCUUACAUUUAAGCACUUGCCACAAGAAUCUACCCCUUGAGGACCAUUCGGUCCACAGAAGGCGGUCCAUCCAUGUUGGCUGCGCCAUUCCAAGGGCUUAUCACCAUCCACCUCGGCGCAAAAAGGAGGUAUUGUCCAGCCAUUAUCCGUAGCUUUGUAGUCAGCCCAAUAAGCUAUGACAUCAGAAGCACUUUGGGCAGCGGCAAAAGCCACCAGGCAGGCCAAGAACAGAAUGCUUAAGCUUAGUCUCUUCAUUUUUUGUGUGAAAUACUCAAUUG
rnacentral:lncRNA from 1 species